AGAGCGAACGCUGGCGGCAGGCUUAACACAUGCAAGUCGAGCGGGCGUAGCAAUACAUCAGCGGCAGACGGGUGAGUAACGCGUGGGAACAUACCUUUUGGUUCGGAACAACACAGGGAAACUUGUGCUAAUACCGGAUAAGCCCUUACGGGGAAAGAUUUAUCGCCGAAAGAUUGGCCCGCGUCUGAUUAGCUAGUUGGUGAGGUAACGGCUCACCAAGGCGACGAUCAGUAGCUGGUCUGAGAGGAUGAUCAGCCACAUUGGGACUGAGACACGGCCCAAACUCCUACGGGAGGCAGCAGUGGGAAUAUUGGACAAUGGGCGCAAGCCUGAUCCAGCCAUGCCGCGUGAGUGAUGAAGGCCCUAGGGUUGUAAAGCUCUUUUGUGCGGGAAGAUAAUGACGGUACCGCAAGAAUAACGCCCCGGCUAACUUCGUGCCAGCAGCCGC
rnacentral:rRNA from 1 species